CCUACGGGAGGCAGCAGUGGGGAAUUUUCCGCAAUGGGCGAAAGCCUGACGGAGCAAUACCGCGUGAGGGAAGACUGCCUAUGGGUUGUAAACCUCUUUUUUCAGGGAGGAAUAAAAUGACGUGUACCUGAAGAAUAAGCAUCGGCUAACUCCGUGCCAGCAGCCGCGGUAAGACGGAGGAUGCAAGUGUUAUCCGGAAUCACUGGGCGUAAAGCGUCUGUAGGUGGUUUAAUAAGUCAACUGUUAAAUCUUGAGGCUCAACUUCAAAACCGCAGUCGAAACUAUUAGACUAGAGUAUAGUAGAGGUAAAGGGAAUUUCCAGUGGAGCGGUGAAAUGCGUAGAUAUUGGAAAGAACACCGAUGGCGAAAGCACUUUACUGGGCUAUUACUAACACUCAGAGACGAAAGCUAGGGUAGCAAAUGGGAUUAGAUACCCCAGUAGUCCUAGCCGUAAACUAUG
rnacentral:rRNA from 1 species